AACGAACGCUGGCGGCGUGGAUUAGGCAUGCAAGUCGAACGCGAAAGAGGGGGCAACUCCUCGAGUAGAGUGGCGAACGGGUGAGUAACGCGUGAAGAACCUGCCUUCGAGAGGGGGAUAACACUCCCAACGGGGUGCUAAUACCGCAUGAGACCACGGGUCCACCUGGACCUGAGGUCAAAGGUGGCCUCUGCUUGCAAGCUACCGCUCGAAGAUGGCUUCGCGUCCCAUUAGCUAGUUGGCGGUGUAACGGACCACCAAGGCGACGAUGGGUAGCUGGUCUGAGAGGAUGAUCAGCCACACUGGAACUGACACACGGUCCAGACUCCUACGGGUGGCUG
rnacentral:rRNA from 1 species